CCUGAUUCAAUAUAUUUACUGUGUUUUUGUUACCAUCUACCAUUCUGCAUUGUUAUAUAAUGAAACUUAAUGAAGUGUGAUUUAAGGCAAAUGGUAGCGGCAGAUGGCAGUGAACCAUACGUAUGUAUUAGUGUACAAGGCGUACUGCCUGACACUGUAUAUAAUGAGAUAAGUUAUUUACAGGUGACUGUACAUUAUGCACAGUUCAUAUGCAAUCUCUAUC